AUGACGUCUGCUUACGAUGCAAAUCCAGUUAUGGCCACACGAGCUACUCUCCUAGUUGUGGUUAGCAUGCACACGUGCCUCGCUCAGUUUCUCUUCAAACUCGUGUUCCUUGAUUCCGUAAACCAAAGGUGCGGGGAUGAACCAAGUGCACACCUGACACAGAUGCAUCAGUGGACAUGGAAGAAGCUGAUGAGAGUAAUGUCGGGCCGUCGCUCAAUGAGUCGCCAUGGGUUGCAUGUGGCCCAGUGGCCGCUGAGUGUGUGCGUUGUACUUAAGCUGUCAGCCACACAGAGAAGGCAAUAA
rnacentral:rRNA from 1 species